GUGCUCACUUCGGCAACACAUAUACUAAAAUUGGAACAAUACAGAGAUUACCAUGGCCCUUGCACAAAAAACAAAAAUGAAUACAUUUUAAAAAUUAAA
ensembl:snRNA U6 U6 spliceosomal RNA